rnacentral:rRNA from 1 species
CCUGCAACGAGCGCAACCCUCAUCUUUAGUUGCCAUCGGUUCGGCCGGGCACUCUAGAGAAACUGCCUGCGAUGAGCAGGAGGAAGGCGGGGAUGACGUCAAGUCCUCAUGGCCCUUAUGGACUGGGCUACACACGUGCUACAAUGGCGGUGACAACGGGCAGCGAAGGGGCGACCUGGAGCAAAUCCCAAAAAGCCGUCCCAGUUCGGAUUGUACUCUGCAACUCGAGUGCAUGAAGUUGGAAUCGCUAGUAAUCGCGGAUCAGCAUGCCGCGGUGAAUACGUUCCCGGGUCCUGUACACACCGCCCGUCACACCAUGGGAGUUGGCUUUACCCGAAGGCGGUGCGCCAACCUGUUUACAGGAGGCAGCCGACCACGGUAAGGUCAGCGACUGGGGUGAAGUCGUAACAAGUAGCC